rnacentral:ribozyme from 1 species
GUCGCUCAAAACUUUGCACACCUCUACGUAGUGAGCGAAACACAACGGUUGUCUGUACGAACAUAAUCGGCUAAAAUAUAAAG